UCCUACGGGAGGCAGCAGUAACGAAUAUUCCGCAAUGCGCGAAAGCGUGACGGAGCAAUGCCGCGUGCAGGAUGAAGGUCUUCGGAUUGUAAACUGCUGUCAGGGUCCAGGAAGAUCUGACCAGACCCAAAGGAAGGGCCGGCUAACUUCGUGCCAGCAGCCGCGGUAAUACGAAGGGCCCGAGCGUUAAUCGGAAUCACUGGGCUUAAAGCGUGCGCAGGCGGAUCAGUAAGUACUUUGUGAAAUCCCACGGCUCAACCGUGGAACUGCUUGGUAUACUGCUGAUCUUGAGCGUGGUAGGGGCGGUCGGAACGCUAGGUGGAGCGGUGAAAUGCGUAGAUAUCUAGCGGAACGCCGAAGGUGAAGACAGGCCGCUGGGCCACUGCUGACGCUCAGGCACGAAAGCGUGGGGAGCGAACGGGAUUAGAUACCCCGGUAGUCCACGCCCUAAACGAUGUGCACUAGAUCGAGGAGGUUUUGACGCCAUCUCGGUCGAAGGAAAACUACUAAGUGCACCGCCUGGGGAGUACGGUCGCAAGGCUAAAACUCAAAUGAAUUGACGGA
rnacentral:rRNA from 1 species